CUCAGUUUGUCUGUGUUGCUUUGUUCCCUGCAAUUGUUGCAUCCUUGUGAUCCCUGUGUUUGCCAUUUUGGAUUAUUUCAUUGUCUGGACAGUUACUGCUUGGACACCUGCUGCCUUUUGUUUGCUGUCUCCUUAUUUCCAGCCAUCAUCCUUGCACACAAAUGGAAAACGGCAAAGUGUUACACAGGAAAGAAAGGCCAGGCACCAGGCGAGAAGACAUGUGUGGCUUGAUCUAAUGGCAGAGGACUAAUUGCAUUCUGGGACACAUGCCUGGAAUUCAGGAUGUUCAACAAAAAAGCAUGUUGUGCAAGCAGACCACAUACAACAUUGGGACAAUUAAUAACUCCCCUCCCCCUCCCUCCAGGGGAGAAAAUUUGGCCUGUCCAACCUCCCAGAAGACUGCACUGCUGCCUUUAUUGAUAUCUGUGGCCAGAGACAGGCCUGCUAUCCCUAGGCAGUGUGACUCCACUGGGGCUCCACUGUGACUGGACUGUUAUGAGGCCAACUUAGCCAGCCUGCUCCAAUCAUAGGAGCACAAACAAGCCCCUAACCACACUGAAUGCUAAGCCAGAUCAGUCUCGGGGGUGGUUUGUCAGGUUUUGCAGGGAUAACAUAGCAUGAGAUUAUUUUUUCUCCCUCUGCCUCUUUUUCGCUCACUCUUGCUGUCUUUCUCCCUCUGUUUCUAUCUGUGUGUCUGUUAUUUUGAAUUCACAUCUCUCUGAGGAGGAGAAUGCCUUUUCGACACAUGCUGACACGCACACGCACUCACAUCCAUACAUAGUGGCACAGACACAAAUAAGGCCGUGUGCUUACACCCACACACACUCUCACCUCCUAUCUCUCCUCGACACAAGCUCUCGAGGUCUCCAUUUAUAUGGUUCAGAUGUGGUUCAGUGGUGAAAUUAAGAUGAGGUGUCGACAAGCUAAUGUUGAAAUAACAAGACCUACUAAUUUGUGGCCAGCCUUAUGGAGCCAGUGCCAUCAAAUGUUGCUGGAGCCCAGUAUUAAGGUGAUGAAGUGUAACAUUUUAAAUGGUUGCAAUCAUAGGGCAAAGUCUUCAUUACGAUGAUGGCGCUGCCCGCCACCCACCACCCUUACCCCUCAUUCCAAUGUUGCUGCAUCUAUCACGCAGAGAACAUAUGGGUGCCUGCAGGAGUCACUGUACUUACCCACCUGGGGUUUGCUAACAACCAUGUCAUGAACACUGUAAAAAUAACAAAAUUUUUUAUCAGCAGGAGGUCAGUGUUUGUUAGACUGUAACCUGCUAGUUUCACAAAUGUUUUCUGUUUUAAACGUCCAGUAUUCUGGUUGUGGAUUGCAGCCAACUAAACACCCUUCAUUUCCUAAGAUCUCCUAAGAUGGCUGAUAAAUGGCAAAAAAAACCAGAAAGGCCCUCUCUAGAGCCAACAUUUGAUUUGCCCAUUCUGGACUACUGUAGAAACAUGGCUGUGCAGCAUGGUGGAAUCUAUGGAAGAGGACCAUCUCACUCUGUAAAUAUAAAAACUCACUCUUAGGGUGAUGAUACACUAAUGAACAAAUAGCCCCUAAAUCCUACACAGUGAAUCUUCAAUUGAAGAUGUCAACAACUGCUUUGCUCUAAGUUGUUGAGCGAUUGAAAUAGCCAGUGGCAGACAGAGUGGAUGCGUGUUGUGUAUAUUGUGCGGAGCAGAGAAUAUAAACUCAUGCUCUCAUUUGACAGCACAUGGCCUGGUCAGGCUUGUCAGGAUUUAGAGUAUUAACAUGGCUAAAUCAGCCACAGCCACUCAGAAAAAAAGGAUAUUAGAUUAGAUAGACAGAUUAGAGAAGGCAUAAAAAAAUCCCAACAAUGUUUUCCUCUUCUUGGAUCCACACGUUAUGAAUAAAAAGAUCAACAAACACAUUUAUUUAAAACUGAUAUAUGUCACCAACUUCAAAAUAGCACUAAGCAUGGCCAAGCAUGCACAAGUCCAAGAUCUCAGAGAGGUAGUGACCAUGAUGUUUCUGUUCACUGCUACACUUUGAGGGGGUGAAAGAGGUACACAGCCGCACUAAUUUGUCUUGGCUUGAGAAAACAGCUGUAAACACCCCCAAGGGGGGGAUGACGAGAUAAGCACCAUGUUGUGGAGAUGGUAUCAGAUGGCAACAAUGUCCCACCCAGGCAACAUACUACAUUUUCAGGUGUUCUAUUCAACAUGUUGUGCCUAUUAAUCAGAGCUGGCACUGCAUAAGCACAACAACUGAAAAGCUAAUUGUAAGCUGGGUGAACAGAAACUUGGGUUCACAAAUCCUGUUUAUUGUCUACUCACAAGCUUCGGUUUAUGUGGAGUUUUUGUUGUUACUUUUAUUUUUUUGGUUUGUUAAUGGCCUGAGCAUUUGAACAAAGACAUCUGAUUUUGCACACCAUGGUUAUUAGAUCAAAAUAAAAUUUCUGGCAUUAUAUUGUAUCUGUGAUUGCACCUAUUGUGCUUCAUGCAGUGGAAAUGUGGAAGGAAUGUUAAACAUCAUGAUUUACAUGGCCAAAACACCCUGACUCAAAGAAUAUUUUUACCGGCUGAGUUGCCUAAGGCAUUUAUAGCUGCUAUCAAGCGUUCGAUUUACCAAUUCAGGAAUGUUUAGAGGCCCAGAGGUCAACCCAUUUCUGCUUAAAGUGAAAUACUACUGUAAAUGGAAAAUAUUAAGAAUCAUGUGAGGCUCCAAACAAUCUUUUAAACAUGUUGGUCCUUUAACAUGGAACCCCAUGUAGGCAGAGGAGAGAAAAUCAAUUAGUGAAGUAAAUUUUUUUUGGUAUGUCCUGUACAGUUCUGUUUUUCUGAAUAUAUGAUUAGUGAUCAUGAUGAUGUUUUUCUGUGAUACAUUUUGUAGCCUGUAUGAUCUUUUGCACAGAAAUUUUACAUGAUCUAUUUGCAUGUCUACAAUUAUUUUAAAAAUAAAAAUAAGAUAUUAAAAGUGAAAGGAUA